rnacentral:rRNA from 1 species
AGAGUUUGAUCCUGGCUCAGGACGAACGCUGGCGGNNNNNUUAACACAUGCAAGUCGAACGAGGUCCUCCUUCGGGAGAAGACCUAGUGGCGAACGGGUGAGUAACACGUGAGCAACCUGCCCCGAAGACUGGGAUAACAGCGGGAAACCGCUGCUAAUACCGGAUAUCCCCAUCGGACCACAUGGCCUGAUGAGGAAAUGAAUUUCGCUUCGGGAGGGGCUCGCGGCCUAUCAGCUUGUUGGUGGGGUAACGGCCCACCAAGGCGACGACGGGUAGCUGGUCUGAGAGGACGAUCAGCCACACUGGGACUGAGACACGGCCCAGACUCCUACGGGAGGCAGCAGUGGGGAAUAUUGCGCAAUGGGCGAAAGCCUGACGCAGCAACGCCGCGUGAGGGAUGAAUGCCUUCGGGUUGUAAACCUCUUUCGAGCAGGGACGAUAAUGACGGUACCUGCAGAAGAAGCUCCGGCCACUACGUGCCAGCAGCCGCGGUAAUACGUAGGGAGCGAGCGUUGUCCGGAUUCAUUGGGCGUAAAGAGCUCGUAGGCGGCUUGAUAAGUCGGAUGUGAAACCUCCAGGCUCAACCUGGAGUCGCCAUCCGAUACUGUCAUGGCUAGAGUCCGGUAGGGGCCCACGGAACUCCUGGUGUAGCGGUGAAAUGCGCAGAUAUCAGGAAGAACACCGGUGGCGAAGGCGGUGGGCUGGGCCGGCACUGACGCUGAGGAGCGAAAGCGUGGGGAGCGAACAGGAUUAGAUACCCUAGUAGUCC